CCUUGCAUUUGGCAAUGAAUGGAUUGAAAGAUACCGAUCAUUGCUAUGUUGUGCCAGUUGUCUGUAGGAGCUUGCUUUCGAGUUGUUUUACUACCUUAAGAAGUAUCUUGGUAGUUGUUGAUUGACUUGAGUAGCCCUUAGAAGAGUUUAUUUAUUUUCCUUAAGUAUCUUGCUUGCAUCAAGUGGUUAGAUACUUUUACAUUUUAUAUACCUACGUGUUGCUUGGUUGUGUCCUUCGACUGGCACUUGGGAAAUUACUUGAGCUGCAGUGCACCACCAUGCCUCAUUGAGCUCCCUAAUUUGGCUAGAACAGAGGUCUACAACUAAGGGCUACUGUAUUUACAUUUUAUAUACAUGUGAAAGUUAUCUUUGUGAUUCGCUUCGGUUAGCAUCGAUUUCAAUGCAUAUGUCUUCCUUUCUCUUGUCAGUAGUGCAAUAUACUUCUAUUAAAUGAGAAAUAAUCCAGAGCAAUUCCUUCCAUUGUAUAUGAAGCUCUGCUAGGUUCCGAACAUAAAGAUCUCUUAUUACAGUGUAAACUGCUAGCAGAGCUACAUAGCGGAGUACAGAGUUGAUGUGAAGCUCUGCUAAGUUCCAAACAGAAAGAUCAACCCUAUUCUAAGGUUCAAUAUAUGAUUCUUUCUUUCAGUGUUCUUCCUUGAAAAUAAUCAAUGAUCAAAUCAUCUUCUUAGGUAUUGAUUUUUCUUUCUCAUGUUAAGCUAGCAUUUUGGUGCCGUGUAUUUCUAGAUUGUGCUCCUGCUAACUUGGCCCCCGUACUAAAGAUGCAUGGCUUGAUUUUAAAGUUAUGGUUAUGAACACAAAGCUAAUUUCUUGUGAAUUAAUCCCUAGAAUCUCUCUUUCGGCAGGUUCUUAUUUAUCUAUGCCUAUAUGUUGUUCCAUGAAAAUACAAGUAGACUCCAAGGUGGUGCUGCUUGGAUCUGGGGGAGCACUGGUGAGCCAUCCCUUCUCCGCCACCAUCCCUGAUUUCUUUGUGUGCAGUACAUAUGCAUGUUGUUUUAGAGCUACCCCCGUAUACAUCUGAUUAGUGAUUAACUUGCUGCAAAGAAGCCGUGUAGUCAUGAAAGUUGAACCAUGCCUGAAUUAGAAAUGACAGUUUUGUUGAUUUGCCUACUUUAUCUCAAGAACACGCCAUCCAUUGAUAUUUUCUAUAGAUCUUAGCUUCACUGUUCGAGUCUCUCGUGAGUGCAUUAAUCCCAAUCUGACACAAGAUAUUAUUCUUUGUUCCCCUUUCAUUUUGUUACUUACUUGUAGAGAGAAUGGAUCUUAAUUUUGAUUUUAUGAAUAGCCACAUCAAUUCUCUGAUUGUGGCACACACAAAUAAUUAGCUCUCUUCACUUCGAUUUGAAUUUGAGAGUAAUCAGUAGAGGAUUGGAUUCAUGGUCGCAAGAUCUCUAAGAUCGAUUAACUUGCUUUUAAUAUUAUAUGAAGUUCAAAUCCCUUUAUAUUCCAAGACAAGAAACACUGAGUUGUAAAACUCUGUCAGUGUUGAAUAGUGUAACAAAACACAUAUUGGGAUAAUUCUACUUUAAUUUGUUUGCCAUACUUACCAGCUCACCUGAUUUACCAGCUGUAAGCUUCAUUGAUCCAAAACCAUUUUAGCCAUCAUGAGAUCGAAGUUUGUAGGCCCCCCUUGAAUAAGCUAACGUUUCCACCUUAUUGUGGGUACCACGAAAACAUUAAUAAUAAGAGGCACAAACAAAUAUUAUUUUGUUUGUUUAGAUGAUGCAUUUCGUAACGUAUCAUGCAUUGAAAUAAUGAAUCCCUUGCUAUGUAGUAUUAUUUGUGCAAUUCCAUGCUACUCUGGGUGGAAGUUAUGUAUUAAUACUUUCAGUAUUGAUGGAUGGAUAGAUGUAUUGUGGUAAUAUAUAUUUUUGGGCACCCUGUGUGAUAAUAUUUUGAGAGAGUCUACCUCGAGAGAAUUACAUGAUGCAAGGGGUAUAACUUCGGUUCAGAUUCUUAUACAUAGUUCUCCUUAUAAUGUAGACUGUGACGUAUGAUGCUUCCAUGGCUUAGUUCAAGGAAUGACUGAUGCUAUUUUCUUGCCUAUGGGUUUGGGCUACUAAUUUUUAUUGCCAUAAUUUAUUGUUUGUCAUCUAAAAAGGAUUCAGAGGGAUACAAAGGGUCCUCUAAUUUGCAACCGAUUAAACUGCUUGGUUCCUGAUUCAUAUUUGUUUUUCUAUAUUAUGGACAACCGAUUAAGAAUAUUUACAGAGUAGGAGUCUUCGUUUGAUGCCACAUUUGACAUCACCCAGUUUGUGUGUAGGGUGCUUAAUAAGUUUCUUGAGAUGUAUGCACUGCAUGAAGGAGCACAUUUCUGUCAAUUUUACUAGAGGUCAAGGUUACCUUCAAAUGCAUGUAGUUAUUUGUAAGCUUCAACAGCUUGAAUGCAAUGGAAGUUUGGAUUGAAAGGAUUUUUGGUUGGCUAUAAGGAAGAGAGUAGUUGAUGGCCAUUUGUACUGUUGUUGUGGUCGUCCUUGGCGCAGAAGGGGUGGCGGGGGAGGCACAGAGAUGGGGCAAACCUUUCACUGUGUCUAAUCCACUUGAUUCCAUCAUUUUCUAUGAGAUGCACCAAUGAUUGUAACGAAUCUUCACGCUUUGUACUAAACCUUUACUACUAUGUAUUUUGUUUGCUCCUAUGUCAUGAGAAAUUCCAAAUGUUGGAUUUGUGCCUGGCACAUGCCGCGAGCCGGCUCAGUUGUCCCGGGCCUUGCUUUUGGAACAAAUGUUUGCUUACCUUGCUUUUGCUAUAUCUUCACCAUUUGUGAUGUACCAAACGUUUUCUUAAUCUGUAUGCUCUAAACUCGGUUUUCCUGGGCAACAACUAUAUACCUUACUUUCAGUAUAUCUCUAGUGUUUGUGAUUUGUACAUAACACAUUUGGCUUGACCAGUUAUUCUAAUUUCCUCUGAAUGUACAAAAUGCUAUGUUGGAGUUUUAUGCGUU
rnacentral:lncRNA from 1 species